rnacentral:rRNA from 1 species
AUACGGAGGAUCCGAGCGUUAUCCGGAUUUAUUGGGCUUAAAGGGUGCGCAGGCGGCCAUUUAAGUCAGCGGUUAAAUCGUGGGGCUCAACCCCAUUCUGCCGUUGAUACUGGGUGGCUUGAUUGCGGUCGAGGCUGGCGGAAUUCGUUGUGUAGCGGGGAAAUGCAUAGAUAUGACGAAGAACACCGAUUGCGUAGGCAGCUGACCAGACCGCAAAUGACGCUCAUGCACGAAAGUGCGGGGAUCGAACAGGAUUAGAUACCCUGGUAGUCCGCACAGUAAACGAUGAAUACUUGUUUUCGGCGAUAUAAUGUCGGAGGCAAAGCGAAAGCGAUAAGUAUUCCACCUGGGUAGUACGCCGGCAACGGUGAAACUUAAAGGAAUUGACGGGG